UACGUAGGGGGCAAGCGUUGUCCGGAUUUAUUGGGCGUAAAGAGCUCGUAGGCGGCUUGCGAGUCAGGUCGGUGAAAACUUCAGGCUCACCUGGACGGCCACUCGAUACUGCCAUGGCUUGAGUCCGGUAGGGGACCACGGAAUUCCUGGUGUAGCGGUGAAAUGCGCAGAUAUCAGGAGGAACACCGGUGGCGAAGGCGGCUCUCUGGACCGGUACUGACGCUGAGACGGCGAAAGCCCAGGGGAGCAAACGGG
rnacentral:rRNA from 1 species